GUGCCACCACCACACUUAGCUAAUUUUUGUGUUUUUAGUAGAGACAGGGUUUCACCAUAUUGGUCAGGCUGGUCUUGAACUCCUGACCUCAGGUGAUCUGCCUGCCUCGGCCUCCCAAAGUGCUGGGAUUACAGGCGUGAGCCAUUGUGCCUGGCCGCUAUUUUAAAAAUUACUAUUGUUUGGAGAUAUCAAACAUUUGAGAAAUAUAAUGUCAUAUUCUUAAAUAUUCCAGUUCUGUAAGAUCUCUUCAACCUGUGGUUAUAAAUGGAGACACAUUAUGAGUCAUCAUUCCUGUUUCAAUGUCUCUGAAACCGUUUGCUGAGCUAUUCUUCCUGGUUCCCUCAAAACCUCCUCAUCGAGUUACUUCUGGGAGGAGAGUUGGGGUAUCACAGAGACUUGCCUUCUUGCGCUCCAUCCCCAUCCAGGUCUGCUGCUGUGAAGCCACUUGAGGGCGCCUCCCCACUGUGACUGUGACACUGUGACCAAAGGGACCUGCCCAGACAGGAUGCAUGCCUGGGGACACUCUCUCUCUGAGCUCCAAAUAGCAAGCCAAGGCACCUGGUGUCCUCACCUGCUGAGCCCCUGCCAGAAGUGAGGAGAUGUCCCCCUGUCCCACUCUGGUCACACUUUGACACUUGGACCCCAUUAUCCCCCAGAAUCCUACCACCUCCCCAAACAUUCCUCCCACUCUUGUCUUCAGCCCUUCUCUUGAUCAACCUCACACAAGGGUGCUGAAGUCCAGCCCCAUCAGAGCCUCCUGUUUUUGAGACCUUCUUAUCCUCCCUCUUGCCCCAACCCCUACCUCCCAUACUGGCUUAAGACCCCUCUGUCCUGUAGCCAGAAAAUACAGGUCACAAGCACUAGGAAAAAUCAUAUGACUAGUCUCUCCCCAGUUUAACAGUGGACAAAGGUUUAUUGCACUCCUACUGUGUGCAAAGGACGUUGGACAUGGGGAUGAGCACGCCCCCAGGAACUUCCACCCAGCUCACAACCCAGCAGGGAGGGGUUUGUGUCACAUUCACCAUCUGACUAGGGAGAGACAGAGUUUGUGGUGAAUACCCACAUUCUUAGCCUAAGAUUCACCUGCUAAUUGCAUCUUCUAAUGUUGUCCAAGUUUUGCUAGGUGACACUCCUCACUCCAAGGAAGCUGUGCCUUUCUUAGGGUAGCCCCCAGGGCAUCUUGUUGCCAAAAGGCCUCAGUUUCCCUAGAGAUCUCGGUUCCUACACUAACUGCCAAGCGCUGGAAGGGUGGAACCAAGAUGAGGCACAGUGGGGCCGGUGCUCAGGAAAGCAGGCUCCUCUGGGGCAGAGAAUGCCCGCCAGAGAACAUGCCCCCCGACCUGGGCUCCCUUUCGGCCAUUGAUGAGGAAACCUGUCCCACGUCUGCGGCAGCGAUGAGGCCUGGAGGGCAGGGCCUGGCGCUGCCUGGCAAUGAGCGUCCCAGGUAUUUGGCCUUGCCUUUCAUAGAAGACAUGAUUGCUUUAAGAGAGUCCCAACCAGAGAAGAGGACGGUGGAGGAGGGAAGAGGGGAAGGUACAACUGAACAGAGGCUUUGAUUGUGAGGCUCCAGCCAGACCCACGCUUCCUCCUGCCUUCCUGCCUCAACCCUCCCCGGUGGACCCCUCACCAGAUGAAGGUCUGUUAGCUGAGCUGGGGGAUGAUGACUCAGAGGAACGGGGCUGACUUUCAGGCAAGGCCUGAGUUUGGUUUUAAUUAUGCUGCGCUGUGUGCAUGAACUAAAAUUGCGGGAUGAUGUGAAAGAAAAAUAAAUCUAAUGAGA
rnacentral:lncRNA from 1 species